CCCUCUAUAUAAAGGGUAUACUGCUGGAACAAUUAAUCACGCAACCAUCUUCUGGAGAUCGGUGGCCUGGUCUGUAAGAAAGAGGCAGCGGGGAGUGCUGGAGAGAACGAAGGUAAUUUCCUUCUUCUCUCGGAGGCCUGGUCUGUAAGAAAUAGGCAGCAGGGAGUGAUCGGAUCCAAAAUGAGUAUCCAUAACCAAACCUCCUCGAUUCACCACAUCACUGUCAAUAUUGUGAGAAUCAACCUUCGAGAACAACGGAAUCUCAUGUUUAUUCAGUCUUCCGAUUUCAUCAACAAUGGACAACAAUACAAUCUCAUGCUCAAUUACCUUAGCGCCAUUCUCGCCCUCAUUGCUUUCGUUGAUCCAGUUCUCAUCAAACUCAUUGAUUUGAAGUUUCAGAAAGAGGUCGACUCUGUGUUUGAAGCCCACCCCAUAACCACCAUGAUGUUCUUUGCUAGCUUACUGGUGUUUGUUUUGACAUUCGGAAUUGAGUUAACCUUCCAUUCUUCUCAUCUCUCUCCCACUUGUGCUGCUCUCCUCCGCACUGCCAUGAUGUUUUCUGGUUCCCUCUCCUUGACUUCAUUGGCAUCAGUAUUAUUGCCCGAUGCAUUGCGGCCCCUUCUAUAUGCCUUCUGUGCCUUUCUCUCACUUGCCAACUUGCAUAACCUAGUCCGGAAAUGGUAUCACUGGGUUCACCGUGCAAUCGUGGACAACCUUGAGACUGCAUUAACAGGUAUGCGACAAUCGCACCUGAGAAGAAGGGGUACACCUUCUACUGUCCCUAUUCCUACAAUUUCACGGGUUCCCCAUGUCUGAUUUCUCAGGAACGCAUUUUGUCUCGUGAUUCUAGUUUUUGUUGGCUUGGGCAUUUAUAAUUAUUAAAUAAGUAAAAGGAAUGCCUAACUUAGAUUUCCCUAUGUUUAGACGCCAACCCACUAAAUCUAGAGAAAGAAAGAGAGAAUUUCUAUAACAAGCAUGCAACUUCAGAUUGUAUUUCCUUAGUUGUCUGAAAGAAAGGUUGCAGUAGUAAUGAUAUUUAAUGUUGUUCCAGUGAAGAGUUUCUACUUAUGCAUCUAGUCCUUAAUGAUCUUUUUUUUUUCCCUCAUUUUUCCUCCAUUAUUGGCUCAAUUUGAUUUGUAAGUACAAUCUGCUCAACUUCAAUGUUACCACUGUGAGCUAGUGGGAGAGUGUGUGCACCCUAUCAUUUUUAAGUACUCUUAAGUAUGCGCCCAAUCAAAGAAAAGACAAUAAGCAAGAGAAAAAUACAACAAAAAGGAGUUUUUGGAGCAUCAAAGUACAAGCCUGUCAAGGUCCUAGGUGAUGCCAUUAAGUUUGUUUGAGAGUAUUUCAACAGAAACUGGAGAUCUCUUUGUCAUACACCUGCUUGAUGUUUCUGAUGAUAGCAGAAGCUCAAGUAAGAAGCUAGAUGCCCUUAAAUUUAGAAUGAUAUUUUUCUAAACUAAUAUGUGUUAGGGAAAUGCAUACUCUAAAGUUGCAAUUGAGAUUAAAUCUUCUUAAGUAAAUGCAAAAUCAUUAGCCAGUUUCACAUUUGGAAAUUACUUGAUGAGAAGCUAGAAUAUGUAGUAUUUGAUUUUAUUUCUAAUGCAUUUGAUUACAUAAAGUGAUUUUUGUCAAUAAGAUCUUGUUUGAUGCCUUUGUUUUGGUCCAACAAUAGUAUUAUGGGACUUUUGUGCAUUUGGAUUUUUAGAUCCAAAUUUCAAUUAUCAGAACCUCAAUUUUCUCUCAUUCCAAGUGUUUUAAAGGAACUCAUGAUGUCCUUCAUUUGGGCAAAACAGUAUUUGGACAUCAGGAAUUGAUUUGAUUGUUAGGGAUGGUGAUUGCAUUAAGCCACUUCUUAAAGGGUGUUUGGUAAAACUUAAUACUUGUUACUUAAUGACUUAUGUUGAUUUUAAGUUAAAUUAUACUUAAGUUGUUGACUUAAAACUUAUUACUUUAAGUAUUAAGGUUGUUUGAUAAAAUUAAUUUAAAAUUUAUUCUAAAUCAUCAAAUUGACAUAUUUAUCCUUUUAAAUUAUAACUAGGGCAAAGGUGGUUUAGUAACAAUAGAGGUUGUGAAAUAGCAAGAGAGCUCAUAGAGGUAAUUAAGACAAAAGGGGAUAAAAAGGUAAAAUGAAGAUGUGGACUUAAGAAUAAGUUAAUCAUUUUUAUUUAUUGUUUAAAGUUGUUUUUGACUUUAAGUCAUAAAGGUAUGGUCUAACGGAAGGGCCUUGAUUUUAAUGGAAAAUGAAGAAGAAGGAGAGGAUUGUAUGUAGAAAAGGGAACUGAAAUGAAGAUAUAUAAAUAACUACCACAUAUAAACAUCUUCUAGAUGCAAAAUUCUUUGCAUGUUACUGUUGACCUUAUGUUCUACAUUCAUAUUCUGCAUACUUUUGUUAAUGUCAUUUUGUUAAGUAAUUGAAAUGUUUAAGUACUCCUAGGGUUUGGGCUAAUCAAUAAGGGUUUUGGUUCUAACGGAGAAAGCAAGUCGACCAGGAAAAGCAAAGUACGUUUGCUUUAAAGAUUUUCAAAUUCAUGUGCUCUAGUUCUUCAUUUCCAAAGAAUGUUGGACUUUCUGGUACCCCAGUAUCUUCGUCACUAUCCACUUCUGAUUCAUUGUUUUCUGGUGUCUUUAUUCCUAUCUCUGUGUUCCACACUUCCUAAUGCAGGACAGGAGAAGUGAAGGAAAAGGUUGAGGAGUUGAUCUUAGAGACCCAUAACAGCUGGGGAUAAGGCCUUGUGAUGAGUACUGGUGCAAGGGGUUCUUCGUUGGGGAAGAAGAGUGUCAGAACACCCCCUUUAUAUUAAUUCCAAAGACAAACUAUUUGAAAAUUCCACCUGCAUUCAAGCAUGCAUUUAUAUGAAAUAUGCUUGUACCAUUUGAUUCUUGUUCAUUCUCCUUUGUGAACCCUAGAGGUUCAUUUAGAUGUUGAUGCUGCUGCUGCAAGGAUGGCAUCAAGAAGGGCUUGGAACUAGAUAAUAAUUUUGUCUCAAUGUGGCCAGUUGCCUUUAAUGAUUGGAGAAUCUGCAAAAUCUUGUGUCCAUGGAGACAACAAUGGAAAUUUCUCCUCUUCCCCAACUUUUAAGCCAAAAAUCUCUUCCAAUAUGCUAAUCAAGUUAGCAAGCCAACCCAAGGCAAGGUCAAGAAACAUGAUCGUCUCUCCAGCAAAGGACAUUUUUCCCUUCAACUUUUCUUCCAAGAACUUCAGGUACUCCAUGGCUUCCUCCAGCUCUUUCCCUCGUGUGAUAAACACACUUUGAAUUGAUGUCAAACCAUACAUCAAAAAACAAAUGAAUAUCAAACUACAAGAUCUUUCUGAAGCUGAAGAUAACACUACUUUUCUGGUUGAUAUAUAUUUUUGUUUGCCUGUCAGAAAAAAAAAAAAUCUAUUUUUCUGGUUGAUCAAUACACAUGGAAGUCAGAUGCUAAUAUAGCUCAAUUUUCCUUUCAGUGUUUGUCCUUUUAUUUAAAAUGCUGGUUUUGGAAAACCUCUUAGAGGGAUGUAACAUUUGCAUCUUUCAAUUUUGAUGGUGUUGACCAGAACUGAGCUGUCAUCUCAAGACCAUGAAUCUCCAUAGUAUCAUCUCAUUAAAUCAAACAGCUAAUUUGAGACGAGUGAUGCGUUCCUCCUGAAUCAGUUGGAGGACAUUUAUUGUUUGGAGAAGAUUGAUCUGCAUGCCUUCCUCCAUAUAUACAAAAAGAACAAUAGCUCCAUUUCCUCACCGAAGUUUCUGUGUCUAAAUACCAUGAGUUGAAUAUAAAUACUGUACAGUGAAAUCUUUCCUGGUAUAUCUUAUAACCUGAAUCCACAUUGCAUUUCUACUCAGUCUUCUAUGUUUUGUACCAUUUUUUAUUUGUCACCUUCUACAAGCUCCGCGAGCUAUCAACAUCUUGGAAUUUGACCUUUUCUUCCACAUCCCCUAGCAUAUAAUCAAUGCAUUUCUUCUUCUAAUUCAUCAGUCUCCAUUGGUUUUAGGUGGAGAUUAAAAAUAGCUGAUAAAUAUGACAGAGGAUUCAGUGGACUUUUGAUGAAGAGCAGGUUGACAGUAACAAAGGUGUUGGAAGUAUGAUAUUUGCCUGAAGAGCUUGGCAUACCAGUAGCAAAAAUGGGGAAAAUCUUAAUCUUGCUGUAAGUACCAUUUUGCUACCUUUGCUUAUUUUACAAAUCUGAAUUAUUGACCAAUUCAUGUUUUUCCCGCUUUUGACUUGUCCAUUAAUUUUUUUGGUCAUUGUGAAGUAACUCUUAGGUAUCAUGACAGCAUAAUAAGAACUGCCAUCAUUUUGCUUAUCUCAGUGUGGAGACUUCCUGAUACAAAAUUCACAUAUUCAACUCACCAACUUUCUUCUGGAUGGUUAUGUUGUCUCAAACAAUGGUGGUAUGAAGAGGAAAUGACAAGGCCUGAAUCUUUUAUUGGGUCAAUUUGGAAAAAAUACAUACCAAAUAUAAGCCCUUUGCUUGCAUGUGUGUGCAUUGACACACAUGUGAGUGAAGAUAUAAUCUAGAGUCCAAGAACUUUGUCCUAUAUAGGUUCCUUAUAUCUUGUAAACUAGGCUUUCUAGUUUUACCUUUUAGUAAAUUUGGAUUUUGAAUUGGAUGCAACAGGCAAUCAGUUACUCUAGUUGGUAAGCCAUGCAUGGAGAAAGUUGCAAAGUCAGUUUCUAAUUUAAAAAAAAUAAAAAGAUAAAAAAGUUGCAAAUUCAGUUGGAUGAUGAAUUUCAGGAUGACAUCUUAGGUGGGAUCAUAUCUAGUACAUAUAUAUCCUGUGUAUAUACCUAUUAAGAGUAUUAGAGGCUGUAAUGCAUAUUUGCAGAAAUAUUUGAGGCACAAAAAUGUUUCAUCAUUCAUGGCCAUUGAGUUGGAAUGCCACCAAAGAUAACAUUUGAUCACAGAUGUAGAUCAUCGAAUUCAUCAACCCACAGCUUUCCUUGGGCAGCAGCUGCACAUAAGCAAGGAAUAAGGUAGAAACUUCAGGCCUACGUGUUUUUCUUCGACACAGUCAACAAACUUGUUUGAUUUUAUUUUCCAUCACUUUCUCAGCAAACAACUGGAAAUUAGAGCAUCAAGAUCAAUGUUGUUGCUAGAACUAAUGGAUUAUUGUUAAUCAUGCUGCCAUAUUCUGGUUGGCUUCGAUUAAAUUUAGACACAGCAUACCUGUUGCGCUAUGCUCUCCAUGAUAAUCAUGCUAUAAUGACAAAUUCUACAAUGGUCCUUGGACUUAUCAGUAUAAAAAAAUUUAAGAGAGUGAUAUUUAAAAUGAUUUGUUGCACAUUUGACAGAAUGAAUUAUCAUAUAGGAUAAGGAUGACAUUGGGACAUAGUUAACUGAAAAAUGGAGAUUAGAAAUGCUCUGGAGUACGAGGCAAUUGCAAAGGAAAAAUGGCCUAAGAUGGUGUUUGGCUAAUGUGUAUCUGGUGCAGAGGACCACUGGGCUCUAUUUGAGAAUAGGCAUGUUUUUUCAAGCAUUCUUAAUCCUUUUUAUCUUUAUCCAUAAAAGCCACUCCUAAAACUAAAUCAUCCCACUAUAAACCUUUGGUUCAAUGCUUUACGUAUCAUUUAAUAUGAACAAACUUAUGUAGAAAUUUAUAUAGCUGUUCUUUGAAAAAUUUUCUUUUUAUUGAAUUAUAGGUUUCAACUCACAUUCUUAUUGAUGUAUGCAAGAUAAACUUGGCCAAGGUCCUGUGUUCUGAGGCGAGGCACUAUUUCUUAUCUUUUAAAUAUUUACAAGAGCCUAGUUUUUCAGUAAAAAAAAGGUGGCAGGUGGAGACGAAGGAGAGAAAAGGAGAAGGGUUCUUCAAUCACUGACUCAAAGAGAAACCUGGGAGAAUUUCCAGAAGCACAAUGACAGAAGAAGCUACUCCAACCCAUAGGCCUUCGGCUUUGAUGAUGCUCCUCUGAACCUCAAUUUUCCUUCGCUUUCCUCAGCUGCCAAACAGGUCAGACCCAUCAAUUUUCCCUCUGUUUUCUCGACUUUUCUUUCCCUCAAAGCCGUGAAUGUCUACCAUUUUUUUUUUAUUCUCUCAACUCUGCAACAAAAAAGAGGAAAAAAUAGGAUUUUUUGGUUGUUUUGUUUGGGGUUUGUGGAGAUUGUUGAUUGCAUUGGUGUCUGGUUUAUUUGAAAGAAAAGGGGAGAAUGUUUGGGGGCGAGAAUUUGAGAUGAGGCUCACUUGCUUGGUUCAGAAAUUUGGGUUUGUCUUUGUACUUGUCUGGCUUCUGAUUGGGGAUUGUUGUGAUAUUGAAUAAUUUGGCAAAUGUGAUGUGGGUUUAUCUGGAAUUUUUUUAGUUUAGCAUUUGAUGAAUGAAAAAGGCAGAGGACAUGGAAGAAGGUGAUGAGAUUAUGCAAGAA